UUUGUAGAGAACCUAGGAGACUGGAGUUUGUUGGAAUUUCUAGCUUUAGAGGAUCUGAGAACUAUAGGAAGAUUGGAAGGGCAGUAAAGGGAGGGGCUGGUUAAUGGAUAAUGAGACCACGAACACGAGACUGUGUAAAAGGCAG
rnacentral:lncRNA from 1 species